AUUGAACGCUAGCGGGAUGCCUUACACAUGCCAGUCGAACGGAGUGGCGAACGGGUGAGUAAUGUAUCGGAACGUGCCCAGUAGCUGGGGAUAACUACGCGAAAGCGUAGCUAAUACCGCAUACUAUUGGAGCGGCCGCUAUCGGGUUAGCUAGUUGGUGGGGUAACGGCUCACCAAGGCGACGAUCCGUAGCUGGUUUGAGAGGACGACCAGCCACACUGGGACUGAGAGACGGCCCAGCAGCCUGCGGGAGGCAGCAGGGGGGAAUUUUGGGCAAUGGGGGAGACCCGGAUCCAGCCAUCCCGCGUGUGCGAUGAAGGCCUUCGGGUUGUAAAGCACUUUUGGCAGGAAAGCGGUACCUGCAGAAUAAGCACCGGCUAACUACGUGCCAGCAGCCGCGGUAAUUC
rnacentral:rRNA from 1 species